rnacentral:tRNA from 1 species
UGCCGAAACCCGGGAUCGAACCAGGGACCUUUAGAUCUUCAGUCUAACUCUCUCCCAACUGAGUUAUAUCGGC